CUUGGUUGAUCCUGCCAAGGAAGCACACUAUGGUCAUAGAUUAAGCCAUGCAAGUGUAAGUUCAGGUAACUAAACUGCGAAUAGCUCAUUAACACACUCAUAAUCUACUUGGAAACAAUUUUUUAAAAAUUUUAAAUGGAUAGCAGGAGUAAUUCUCGUGCUAAUACAUGAAAUUUUAAUAAUCUCAAAUUAAAUCAGAUUAUUUUUAAUACCUUUUAAUAGGUAAUCCAAUCGAAUGAGUGACCUAUCAGGCCAGUACUUAGGGUCUUUACCUAAGUAAGCUAUCACGGGUAACGGGCGGUUACCGUCGUACUGCCGGAGAAGGCGCCUGAGAGAUAGCGACUAUAUCCACGGGUAGCAGCAGGCGCGAAACUUACCCACUCGAGACUAUCGGAGGUGGUAAUGACCAGUUAUAAUUAAGGAAUUUUCCUUAUUAUAUAGGAAUAUACUUUUCCAGUAUAUUGUAACCUAGCAGAGGGCCAGUCUGGUGCCAGCAGCUGCGGUAAUUCCAGCUCUGCAAGUUUGCUCCCAUAUUGUUGUAGUUAAAACGCUCGUAGUCUGAAUUAUUUUAAUUUAAAUUUUUUAAAUUAAAAUUUAGUUUUUAUUUUAUAAAAACGUUCACUGUGAACAAAUCAGAACGCUUAAAGUAAUUUUCUUUAUUGAAUGAUUUAGCGCAGUAUGAAAUUUUUACUUUUUAAAUUUUAAUUAAUUUAACAAGUAAUAUCAAAGAGAAUAAUCGGGGAUAGAUCUAUUUCAUGGCGAACAGCGAAAUGUUUUGACCCAUGAGAGAGAAACGAAGGCGAAAGCAUCUAUCAAGUGUAUUUCUAUCGAUCAAGGGCGAGAGUAGGAGUAUCCAACCGGAUCAGAGACCCGGGUAGUUCCUACCUUAAACUAUGCCGACAAGGUUUUGUUUUUUUUAAUAAAAGCAGUACCAUAGGAGAAAUCAUAGUUCAUGGGCUCUGGGGGAACUACGACCGCAAGGCUGAAACUUGAAGGAAUUGACGGAAGGGCACACCAGGGGUGGAGCUUGUGGCUUAAUUUGAAUCAACACGGGAAAACUUACCAGGACCAGAUAUUUUUAAUGACUGAUCAGGCUAUAGGUCUUUCAGGAUAUGAUUUUUGGUGGUGCAUGGCCGUUGGUGGUGCGUGGGUUGACCUGUCUAGCGUUGAUUCAGAUAACGAGCGAGAUUAUCAC
rnacentral:rRNA from 1 species